rnacentral:tRNA from 1 species
GCGGGAAUAGCUCAGUUGGCUAGAGCACUAGCCUUCCAAGCUGGGGGUCGCGGGUUCGAAUCCCGUUUCCCGCUCCA